GCGGCAAACGGGUGAGUAAUAUCUGGGAAUCUGCCCAAAAGAGGGGGAUAACUACUAGAAAUGGUAGCUAAUACCGCAUAAUGUUGAAAAACCAAAGUGGGGGACCUUAUAGGCCUCAUGCUUUUGGAUGAGCCCAGAUGAGAUUAGCUUGUUGGUAAGGUAAAAGCUUACCAAGGCAACGAUCUCUAGCUGGUCUGAGAGGACAGACAGCCACACUGGAACUGAGACACGGUCCAGACUCCUACGGGAGGCAGCAGUGGGGAAUAUUGCACAAUGGGCGAAAGCCUGAUGCAGCUAUGCCGCGUGUAUGAAGAAGGCCUUAGGGUUGUAAAGUACUUUCAGCGGGGAGGAAAAAACUAAAACUAAUAAUUUUAU
rnacentral:rRNA from 1 species